UGAGUACGAGAUGCUACGGCAUCGAAGCAGUCUAUGUCAUACUUCCAAGAAAAGCUUGCACUGUCAUAAACAAAUAAUGCCUGUACCAUAACCGACACAGGUGGGUAGGUAGAGUAUACUAAGGGGCGCGAGAUAACUCUCUCUAAGGAACUCGGCAAAAUGACUCCGUAACUUCGGGAGAAGGAGUGCCUUAUUUAUAAGGUUGCAAUAACAAGAUCCAAGCAACUGUUUAUCAAAAACACAGGUCUCCGCUAAGUCGUAAGACGAUGUAUGGGGGCUGACGCCUGCCCAGUGCCAGAAGGUUAAAGAAGUUGGUUAGCAUUAGCGAAGCUGAUAACUGAAGCCCUGGUGAACGGCGGCCGUAACAAUAACGGUCCUAAGGUAGCGAAAUUCCUUGUCGGGUAAGUUCCGACCCGCACGAAAGGCGUAAUGAUUUGGAUACUGUCUCGGAGAGGGGCUCGGUGAAAUAGACUUGUCUGUGAAGAUGCGGACUACCUGCACCUGGACAGAAAGACCCUAUGAAGCUUUACUGUAACUUGAAAUUGAGAUUGGACUUUAUUUGCGCAGCAUAGGUGGGAGGCGUUGAAAAUAUUCUUGCGGGAAUAUUCUAGCCAUCAGUGAGAUACCACUCUUGUAAUGUUAGAUUUCUAACUUUGUAUCAUUAUCUGGUCAAAGAACAGUUUCAGGCGGGCAGUUUGACUGGGGCGGUCGCCUCCUAAACGGUAACGGAGGCGCACAAAGGUUUCCUCUGAACGGGUAGAAAUCGUAUCUAGAGUGUAAAGGCAUAAGGAAGCUUGACUGUGAGACCUACAAGUCGAGCAGGGACGAAAGUCGGUCUUAGUGAUCUGACGGUGCUGAGUGGAAAGGCCGUCACUCAACGGAUAAAAGUUACUCUAGGAUAACAGGCUGAUCUCCCCCAAGAGUUCACAUCGACGGGGAGGUUUGGCACCUCGAUGUCGGCUCAUCGCAUCCUGGGGCGGUAGUACGUCCCAAGGGUUGGGCUGUUCGCCCAUGAAAGCGGUACGCGAGCUGGGUUCAGAACGUCGUGAGACAGUUCGGUCCAUAUCCGGUGUAGGCGUUAGAAUAUUGAGAGGAGCCUUCUUUAGUACGAGAGGACCGAGAAGGACAUACCUCUGGUGUACCAGUUAUCGUGCCAACGGUAAACGCUGGGUAGCUAUGUAUGGAGAGGAUAACCGCUGAAAGCAUCUAAGUGGGAAGCCCACCUCAAGAUAAG
rnacentral:rRNA from 1 species